rnacentral:lncRNA from 10 species
CUUCAUUCCACAUCACAAAGUUUUGGAACUGAAUCAAACCUCGGAGAUUGAAGACCAACCAAUCCCCUCAUUUACAAAUGGGGAAACCGAGGUAGCUGGGCAUAGCACACAGUAUCUCACUUAAUUCUCAUAACAACACUAUAAGAUAUGUGCUGUUAUUGUCCCCAGUCUAGAGAUGACAAUACCGAGACCAGAGAGGUUAAGACACUUGCUCAAGGUCACACAGCUAGUAAGUUAGUGGUAGACAUUCAUACAGGCUUUCUGGCUCACUGCCUGGCAACUCUGGACGGACACUCUGGACUCCAGAAUCCCAAUGCAGGAUUCAUUCUGCCUCUGAGGGUGCACUUAUUCUAAUACUCACUCCAGAAUGGUUUUUUUUUUAAUCUAUUAUAUUCUUUCAAUAACAUUCUACUCUGUAAAUUAGAUUUUACAGAGCUCUUCGCCAAGGAAGAUCACGUAUACCUUCUCCCCAGUGGGAAGACAGAAAACCUCAGCUGGGGCCCCAGCUCCUUCCCUAAGUGAGGCAUGGUAAGCCAGAGCUGCUUCCUGUUGUGCGUCAGGAUCAUCUUCCAACACAUCUACUGGAUACAUGCCUGCUGGGGUGAAAGAGAACGUUGACAGGUAACAAAACCACCUUGGAGAAGAGUGCUUUGGAAUGAUGUCACAGUGGGAGGACCCAUCACUGUCAGACAGAAGGCAAACAGGGAAGCACCCGGAGUUCAAGGUCAGAGUGUAAGAACUCAUGGCCAUUUGAAAGAGCCAUGGUGACAGCAGCACAUCCCUCUACCCAGAGGAGGAGAGAACAGAAGGAAGGAAGAGGGCUUUGGCACGUGCACAGGAAAACACGGAAAGCCCGACUCUUCGUAUCCUGAAUUUAAUUGACCAAGAACUUGUAAAAAUACCAAGUCCCAGUGUCAGUAAUACCACAACACCAUGCGGCGGUCCCAAAGCUGGUGGGAAAAUGCUGUGGUGGAACAACUGUCCAGCACGGAUCCGGAGCCCGAAACCACACAGCACACAUGAGAAGAAAAAUAACCCCUCGUCACCAUAAUGCGUUUACCCAUUAGUCACAGAAUAACAUUUCUCAGAACUUACCCCCAAAUUGUGUCUAUUAAUGGGCUUUAUAAACUGUCGUCCAAAGAUCACAUCCUUACAUGUUCAUCUAUUACAUUUCAAACAAUAAAACCUCUGAAAAGGAAAAAAAAUGUUUUUGUAUUUGGCAUGCCUCGUUCUGUGCAAGUGAUGAGGAGACUUGAAAGCACAUUGGUCCUCGUCUGCACAGCCUAGUUCUGGGUUAAGCUGGUG